rnacentral:misc_RNA from 1 species
UGGCAAUCAUCAAUGCAUUGUAAAUGUUAGUCAUUAAGCACUAUGCGUUAGAAACUUAUUGCUAAUUGCUGUUUUCCAGUUCUAAAACUGUAAAGGGAGGAGAAGGGGAAGGGUGGAAGUAGAAUCUAAGAAACUGUGUCUUCAGUAUCUCUAAACGAUGACAAACAAAAAAUAAAAAGUUGAUAUCCUUUGAGGGAUAUAACAACUGAUGACCUAGCAAAUUUAGAAUAGUAAGAUCCAGGGAGGAGGUGGGGAAUCUAAGAAACUGAAUCUUUAGGAUCAUUAAAUGAUGACAAACAAAAAGGAAAAAGUUCAUAUUCUUUCAGGGAUAUAACAACUGAUGACUUAGCAAAUUUAGAAUAGUAAGAUCCA